rnacentral:rRNA from 1 species
ACGGGUGCGGAACACGUACGCAACCUUCCUUUAAGUGAGGGAUAGCUUUCGGAAACGAAAAUUAAUACCUCGUAACACUGUGGUGUGGCAUCACACUACAGUUAUAGCUCCGGCGCUUAAAGAUGGGCGUGCGCCUGAUUAGGUAGUUGGCGGAGUAACAGCCCACCAAGCCUACGAUCAGUAACUGGUGUGAGAGCACGACCAGUCACACGGGCACUGAGACACGGGCCCGACUCCUACGGGAGGCGGCAGUAAGGAAUAUUGGUCAAUGGACGCAAGUCUGAACCAGCCAUGCCGCGUGGAGGAUGAAGGUCCUCUGGAUUGUAAACUUCUUUUAUCGGAGAAGAAACCCCGGAAUUCUUUCUGGGUUGACGGUACCCGAUGAAUAAGCACCGGCUAACUCCGUGCCAGCAGCCGCGGUAAUACGGAGGGUGCAAGCGUUAUCCGGAUUCACUGGGUUUAAAGGGUGCGUAGGUGGGAUGGUAAGUCAGUGGUGAAAUCUCCAAGCUUAACUUGGAAACUGCCGUUGAUACUAUCAUUCCUGAAUCUCGUGGAGGUAAGCGGAAUAUGUCAUGUAGC